rnacentral:pre_miRNA from 1 species
CAAAUCAGCAAUAGGGCACCUCUCUCCUGGCAGGAGAAAAAGAUCAGCAUUUUUGGAGUUACCAAAAGUCAGUGUCAAUAACUUGCCAAAGGAGAGUUGCCCUGUGGCUGGUUU